rnacentral:rRNA from 1 species
AGAGUUUGAUCAUGGCUCAGGACGAACGCUGGCGGCGUGCUUAACACAUGCAAGUCGAACGAGAGGACAAGAGAAGCUUGCUUCUUUUGGAAUCGAGUGGCAAACGGGUGAGUAACACGUAAACAACCUGCCUUCAGGAUGGGGACAACAGACGGAAACGACUGCUAAUACCGAAUACGCUUGGGAGACCGCAUGAUCUUCCAAGGAAAGGGUGGCCUCUACCUGUAAGCUAUCGCCUGAAGAGGGGUUUGCGUCUGAUUAGGCAGUUGGCGAGGUAACGGCCCACCAAACCUACGAUCAGUAGCCGGUCUGAGAGGAUGAACGGCCACACUGGAACUGAGACACGGUCCAGACUCCUACGGGAGGCAGCAGUGGGGAAUCUUCCGCAAUGGGCGAAAGCCUGACGGAGCAACGCCGCGUGAGUGAUGACGGCCUUCGGGUUGUAAAGCUCUGUGAUCGGGGACGAACGGUCCGUAAGUCAAUACCUUAUGGAAGUGACGGUACCCGAAUAGCAAGCCACGGCUAACUACGUGCCAGCAGCCGCGGUAAUACGUAG